rnacentral:rRNA from 1 species
GAUGAACGCUGGCGGCGUGCCUAAUACAUGCAAGUCGAGCGAACGGACGAGAAGCUUGCUUCUCUGAUGUUAGCGGCGGACGGGUGAGUAACACGUGGAUAACCUACCUAUAAGACUGGGAUAACUUCGGGAAACCGGAGCUAAUACCGGAUGAUAUUUUGAACCGCAUGGUUCAAAAGUGAAAGACGGUCUUGCUGUCACUUAUAGAUGGAUCCGCGCUGCAUUAGCUAGUCGGUAAGGUAACGGCUUACCAAGGCAACGAUGCAUAGCCGACCUGAGAGGGUGAUCGGCCACACUGGAACUGAGACACGGUCCAGACUCCUACGGGAGGCAGCAGUAGGGAAUCUUCCGCAAUGGGCGAAAGCCUGACGGAGCAACGCCGCGUGAGUGAUGAAGGUCUUCUGAUCGUAAAACUCUGUUAUUAGGGAAGAACAUAUGUGUAAGUAACUGUGCACAUCUUGACGGUACCUAAUCAGAAAGCCACGGCUAACUACGUG